rnacentral:rRNA from 1 species
AUUGAACGCUGGCGGCAGGCCUAACACAUGCCAGUCGAGCGAGCGGCGGACGGGUGAGUAAUGUAUGGGGACUGCCCGAUAGAGGGGGAUAACUAAUGGAAACGGUGGCUAAUCCCGCAUACUAUCGGAUAACCCAUAUGGGAUUAGCUAGUAGGUGGGGUAAAGGCUCACUUGGGCGACGAUCUCUAGCUGGUCUGAGAGGAUGAGCGUCCACAUUGGGACUGAUACACGCCCCAGACGCCUACGGAGGCAGCAGUGGGGAAUAUGGCACAAGGGGCGCAAGCCUGAUGCAGCCAUGCCGCGUGUAUGAAGAAGGCCUUCGGGUUGUAAAGUACUUUCAGCGAGGAGGCGUUACUCGCAGAAGAAGCACCGGCUAACUCCGUGCCAGCAGCCGCGGUAAUUC